rnacentral:rRNA from 1 species
AACGAACGCUGGCGGCAUGCCUAACACAUGCAAGUCGAACGAGACCUUCGGGUCUAGUGGCGCACGGGUGCGUAACGCGUGGGAAUCUGCCCUGGGGUGCGGAAUAACUCGGAGAAAUCCGUGCUAAUACCGCAUAAUGUCUUCGGACCAAAGAUUUAUCGCCCUGGGAUGAGCCCGCGUAGGAUUAGCUAGUUGGUGGGGUAAAGCCUACAAGGCGACGAUCCUUAGCUGGUCUGAGAGGAUGAUCAGCCACACUGGGACUGAGACACGGCCCAGACUCCUACGGGAGGCAGCAGUGGGGAAUAUUGGACAAUGGGCGCAAGCCUGAUCCAGCCACGCCGCGUGAGUGAUGAAGGCCUUCGGUCGUAAGACUCUGUGGGGAGGGACGGAAACGGCGGCCAUGAAGAAGUGGCGAUUGACGGUACCUCCUUAGCAAGACCGGCUAACUCGUGCCAGCAGCCGCGGUAAGAGUCACGUCG